rnacentral:rRNA from 1 species
AUCAACUGCCAUGCUACUAUGAACAAGCCCGAUCCUGUUUGAUCUCGGAAGCUAAGCAGGGUCGAGCCUGGUUAGUACUUGGAUGGGAAACUAUCUAGGAAGACCAGGUGCUGUAGGCA